GCCCGCCAGAGAAUUACAAGCGCAAGCUUAAAACCCAAAGGACUUGACGGUGUCCCAUAUCACUCUAGAGGAGCCUGUCCUAUAAUCGAUACUCCGCGCUAUACCUCACCCCCCCUUGCACCCACAGCCUAUAUACCGCCGUCGCAAGCCUACCUGAUGACAGACUUCACCACAACCAGCAAAAAAGGCCCCCCCAAAGACGUCAGGUCAAGGUGUAGCCUAUGCAGGGGAAAGAGAUGGGCUACAUUUUCUACCAUAGAAAACUACCAAGAGUAUACAUGAAAAUAAACUUAAAAGGCGGAUUUAGCAGUAAGCACGGACAAGACAUGCCGUCCUGAA
rnacentral:rRNA from 1 species